CGCGUGGGAAACCUGCCCUCGAGACGGGGAUAACACUUCUAACGAGGUGCUAAUACCGGAUAAGACCACAGGUCCGCAUGGUCCAGUGGUCAAAGGUGGCCUCUACUUGUAAGCUACCACUUGAGGAUGGUCCCGCGUCCCAUUAGCUUGUUGGCGGGGUAAGAGCCCACCAAGGUGACGAUGGGUAGCUGGUCUGAGAGGAUGGUCAGCCACACUGGGACUGAGAUACGGCCCAG
rnacentral:rRNA from 1 species